UACGUAGGGUCCAAGCGUUAUCCGGAAUUAUUGGGCGUAAAGAGCUCGUAGGCGGUUUGUCGCGUCUGCCGUGAAAGUCCGGGGCUCAACUCCGGAUCUGCGGUGGGUACGGGCAGACUAGAGUGAUGUAGGGGGAGACUGGAAUUCCUGGUGUAGCGGUGAAAUGCGCAGAUAUCAGGAGGAACACCAGUGGCGAAGGCGGCGAUCUGGGAAGAUACUGACGCUGAGGUGCGAAAGCGUGGGGAGCAAACAGG
rnacentral:rRNA from 1 species